CUGAAGCUGGUCCCUGCGCGGGCCAGGGCUGCGGUUUCCAUCUUGAGCUGGUGUCCCUUGAAACUUUUCCAAGUGUCCGCACGACUUACCUUUCCCUGACUUCCCGAAUGUCCCACACCGCAAAACGAGCUGGGCGAGGAGUUUAGGAAUUCAGGGCACCCCAAAUGUUCGAGCCAAGAGUUUUGUUGGUUUCCCACCAGUGUGCGGAGGCGUGGGGGCGACCAGGAAAACUUUUUGGUUUUGUUUUUUUUUUUUUUUUUCCUCCGGGAGAGCCUGGCCUGGCGGGGGCGAGCGCAUCAAGAUUUAGCGCGCGGCGCGCGUGUAGACACGCGUGCUGGGCCGGCAGCCGGCGCUCUCCCGGUAGGUAGGUGGGGGGCAUCGCGAAAAAGACCACUGCCUGGGCAGACCCCGUUUAAGCAGACCUAGAUGGGGCGCUUCGUUCACACACAUCCGAUCUUUAAACUUAGUACAGAAAAACCCAGACUUUGCAUGGGCGCCUCUUCCUCCGGCUCACAAAAGUAAAAGAGCAACGAGUCACUUUCCACGCGCGCUUUGAAUCUGGGCUACCUCCUCCACACAUCCCCGAAUGUUAAAAACAAGAAGAAGAAGAAGAAGAAAAAAAAAAAGCUACUUUGGUAAGAAGGAAGGUAGAGGUGGGGGAAGCGACACUUGUAACUUCUUGCUGCUCUCCCGCCCCCACGCGAACGGAACAUAUGGCUUGUCACGACGCCCUGUUUGGGGGUGCCAAGCCAUGGGACCCACGGAACCCAAAGGCCUUCAAUGAAUUAUUCCGCCCUUAAAAACCGCGAACGAUGUGUUUAUUUACUAUUAGGUUUGGCUGCCUCCCACCCGCACCCGCUCGCUUGCCGGAGUGGAGACCCGGGCGGAAAUCGCCGGCCGCGCCGCCCGGGCCUCGCACGUUUCUUCCCAGCACUCGAGGCCGCCGGGUCUGUUAUGAAACCCGGUGAGCCGAGUGGCUAGGAGCGAGUUCCAUUGCGAUGUAAUUAGGUCACCCCAUUACGGGUACGUUUCUCUGGAAAGGACGGAGCGGGCGGAGCAGAGCCGCACCACCCCUUACACACACGCACACUUUUUUUUUUUUUUUAAACUGCAUUUAUUUAUCGCCAACCUCUGGGCAAACCCAGGGAAACUUUCCAAAUCACAACAGUUUUAGAAACCAGUUUUGUUUUUUUUUUUUCAACUUUGCGAAACACACGACUUUUUUGCUGCAGCCCACGAACCUAACGUAAUUCCCUGCGGGGUCUCUGCUUGACUCGUCUCCAACAAUUUGAGUUGAUGGCCCCCAUUUUUAACCCGGCUGCGGCUCCUGGCUUUUUCUGCUUGCUGCUGUCCAGCCGCCGGUUGCUUCCCUCCCCCGCUCCCAUUUUUCAUCUUUUCUUGAAAUCUGGCAAGCGCCGGGAAGGGAAAUAACUUCCAUCCACCUUAAUUUAAAUCAUUCGGAUGUGUAGGUUUCUUUUUAAAGGGAGGUUUGCUCGCUCCCCUCCCCAGCUCCAAGGGGGUUGGGGGGUGUGUGUGUGCGGAUUCCGUGCAGUUUCUCGGUGAUGAGGUAAUGAGUUCCAGAUUUCGGGACAGAACAGGGUGCGUUAAAAACCACAAGCGCGAUUCCUCGAAUUUCCUGCGCCUUCCCAGCUCCCCUGGGCCUCCCCUCCCCCGUUCCCCGGGGCGCUGGCUCCGCGCUCGCUCCCCGGUUGUUUACCCCGCCCCGCCGACCGCCCGGGUUUGUUCCUGCUCCCAGAGCCCGUCUCUAUAAUUAAACUCUUUUUUUUUU